ACAACAACAAAAUGUGCUAAAAAAGAAUAAACUUGCGAGGAAAAUUAAAGUUUUUGAUCGAUUUUCCGCUAAUUGUGACAUUAAGCAAUGAUAUUUCAACGACUUCUUUUGGUAGAAGCUCAGUUUUCUCAAUUCAUACGUCAUAUAGGGUAAGAACGCUGUACGAUGCAAUGGCAAUAUUUCGUCUCAGUGGUGAAUUCGGACAACAUUUCAGCUGACUGGGAAAAGUGGAAGAAAAGCACAGAUAUAUGCAAAUGGGGGAAAAGCAAAAGAUCACAGAGAACCCUGGAUCUCAGUUUGGGUCUUCCUUGGUGGAAAUGUUUUGUCUGAAGCCGAUGGUUUAGUAUAAUACAGUCCACUUCAACCAGACUGGAGAGAAGACACAUGCAAUUAUCUGAUUAUAGCAAUUAGUGGUGUACAUGUAUGUCAAACUUUUGAUGAAGGAUGACAUAAAGUUGGACUUUUAUAGUCUGGUUUGAUUUUUAACUGCUUGAGUGACUGGUAAAACAAAUGGUUUGUAUAGCAUGGCUGAACAGAAUAGACUGGCUAUCUCGUCAGCAGAAACUUUACAUGUACUAAACUGAUACCUGAAAUUUACCGAGAGAAUAUGCACACAUGAAACAAGAUAUCCAGUGGAGUACUUCCAAAGACAGUCUGGUUCUGUUUCUUCAUGGAACACUGAAAAAAAGCCUUUCACCCUGACAUUUAAGCAGGUGUAAAGAAUACCUUAUUGAAGUUCUUCAGUAAAGAGACCACAAAAAUAGAGGGACAUGCUGUACUACAACUUGUCAAACAGACAAUUAUAACUGUCACAAAAUGGAGCAAACACUCAUAUCGGAAUAAACAUCAAAGUGCCCAGUGCUUAGCUUGAUUUCCUUACUAAAACAUGAUGUUAAUCAAAGUUUAAAAGUUAUACAAUUUUUAUAUGUUUUAGCCUUCUACGAGAAAACAGGAAUCAUUGUAAUUCGGAAGUGAUGUCAGUAAAGUUGGACAUAAAAAGACAACAGUAUGAUAUACUGUAAUUACCAGUGAAGGAAACAGUAGUGCCACAAGAAACUAUUCAAUAUAUUUAUUUGGAAAAAUAAAAAAAUUAUAAUUAAACUGAAGUUAUCAUGUACAGUCAUUAUUCAGGAUUUCAGAGUGGACUGAUUUACUGAAACUAUUGCAGUUUAGUAGCCAAGCACUUUCUUACACUGUUGUAAUAGAUCACAAUUUAUUAUAGAUUAUUAUAAAAAAUUCUUUUUAUCAGAUUGGUGGAAAGUUGAAAGAAUGGCUGUUGAGACCUUAUUUGUGACUAGUGAAUUAAAAACUAAUAACUAGUAAGAUUCUUCUGGGAAACAAAUGGUCAUAUGGUCAUAAUGCCUUCUGAGCACAUGCAAACGUCUUUAGAUAUAGUAAAACAUGUACUGUGUUAUCUCAAGUUAUACAAAUUCAUUUUAAUAUAAUAAAAGAACUGCCUUGUUUUGGUCAAUAGUUAGUUGAUCAGGGUCAAUAGUCAUUUUUCUUGGCUGAAUAAUUUAUACAUUGACUACUUAUCAGAAAUGCUGUUUUAAAUACAAGUUUCUUAAUAUUUUAGAUAUCUUACAAAUGAACACUGAUUUAGAAUAAGAAAAAAAUAUUUUUCUUAUUUGAGAAAGAAAAUUUACUCAUGAAGUUUUUAGCUCAACUGAGUACAAAGUGCUCAUGGUAAGCUUUUAGGAUUGUUGGAUGUCAGUCAUCUAUCUGUAUGUUGUCCAUAUUUUCCUUAAAGAACAUCUCACAGACCAUUAAGUCAGUUUCCAUCAAAACUUUCAGGAAUGUCUCUUCGGUGGUCCUCUAUCAGAUUCCUGAAAAUCUGUGUCAUCCAGACUGAAUUCUGGAUGCCACUGCACCAAAAGAAAUACAUCUUGGAACCACUGACCUGCUUUUGGUAUAAUUUCACAGAAAUGUUCUUUUGGUGACCCUCUACCAAAUUUUUCAAAUCAUUCAAUUUUCUUAAAAAAAGCAUGCAGGUGGUGGAUUAUUUAGUUUUCUCUAUAUGGCUGUAUGGAAAGCUUUGAAUAUUUCUGAAACUACUGACCCAGUUUCAAAAUAAUUUCACAGCAAUGUACUCUAAGUGACUGUAUACCAAAUAAUUCUUUUUCAUUGAUAAACAUGGCUGCUAGGGGUUAGGGUUAAUUUUCCUUAAAAGGCUAUAGUUUUGCUAGACUUGAAAAUGCUUCUCCUUUAAAAGUGCUGGACCAAUUUAAAAAUAAUUCUAAAGAAAUGAUUUUUUGGUUACCAUCCACUAAAUUAAAUGUACUUCAAUUUGGUUCCUUAAACACAUGACUGUCUGAGGGUGGGGUUUGUUUUCCCUAUAUGGCUAUGUGGAACAAAAUUGAAUAUGGUCUCUCAAACCACUGGUAUGAUUUCAAAAUAAUUUAACAGUUAUAUUCAUUGAGUCACCAUGUACCAAAUUCCUGCAUGUCAUGUUGAUUUGUUAAAAAACAUAACUGUUUACAGAUGAGGGUAGUUAACUCUUUUUGGCUAUUUUCAAAUCUCUGAAGCUUUUGUACAGAUCUUAAAAUGAUUUCACAACAGUGUACCUUAAGUGACCCUUUACAAAAAACUCAAGCCAUGUUGAUUUGUUAAAAAAAACAUGGCUACCAGAGAUGAGGCUAGUUUACUCUAUUUGGCUGUAUAAAAAACUUAAAAGAAAUUUGCUCUGAAGCUGCUAACCCAGAUUCAAUAUAAUUUCACAAUGUGCCUAUGGUAACUCUCGCAUUAACCCAGCCCCCCUCUCCCCACCCCAAAAUUAUUGCCUCUUAGAACCCCAUAUCAUCAUUUCCCCUCUCUUCACUCUUCUUCCACACAUAAACACAUUAUUGCCCAGAUUUAUUUAGUGGAUUUUUUUAACCCCCCGCCGGGAGUGUUGGGGGGUUAUAGGAAUGGUCUUCAUCCGUCCUUCCGUAACAUUUUGUGUCCGCUCUGUAUCUCCUAUACCCCUUGAAUGAUUUUCAUGAAACUUGGGUCAAAUGAUAACCUCAUAAAGACGAUGUGAAGAACCUGUAAGUCAGCCAUUUCGAUUAAAGGACAAGGUCACAACUCAAGGUCAAAGGUUUAAGCCUUCCAUUUCGUGUCCGCUCUGUAUCUCCUAAACCCCUUGAAGGAUAAUCAUGAAACUUGGGUCAAAUG
rnacentral:lncRNA from 1 species